GCUUGUUGAGGGUAGUUGACAGUGGGGGGCUGGGGUGGGUGGAAAUAGAUUAUUCAAAUCACAAAGAAGUAGGUGUGCCCUAAGUGACUGUUCCAUUACGGCGAGGAAGAAAUGUUUGCCUUCCUAAGCAUUCAUCCAACUCGCUGCUGCCGAUUGUGUGGGGCCGGAGGAGAGUGCCUGCUCACGAUCGGAAAGCAGCUCCUCUCCGUGUCCUGUGCUGGUGACUUCAGAGAGUGCAUUGUCGUGUAUGGACACCACACCGACCACUCUGUAACCCUCACCCUUCGCCCAGGCCCCUCCCUGCCUGCUCUGGCUGUGCACAGCUACCCCAGAUCCUCGCCCUGCUGUUUGUGGCCCCCACACUUUGAUUUCCCCUCGUGUCUUCACUUUCCACACUUGUACAUCCCGAAAGUUUCCAAGUCCUAUGGAUUCUGCUUCUGUUAUUUCUAAUUCAAAGGUUCUGGGCUGUGCCUUCCAACUGGAUAAAGCUGACCCUGGAAUUGGCACCUGGUGGGUGAGCAAUCAGGGUCCGUUGAAUGAAAAAUGGCCUCCACCUUAAUCAAGGUUUCAGCUCCAAAAAUAAUCCUACGUGUAUCUCUGCCCACUACUGCAUUAUCCUCCAUGACAGUCGGCUUGGAUCACAUUAUUUUAAUGUUCAGCACCUAGCUUUUUCCUGAAUCCAAUGUAAAGUACUCUUUUCUUUUUCUUUUGGCACCAGGGAUCGAACUCAGGACCUUGCGCUUGUGAGGCAGACUCAGUGCCACUGAGCUAAAUCCCUGAUCCCCAAACUACUCUUUUUAAAUACACCCCAACUUAUUUUUCCUCAGUACUCCUUCACAAACUCCUAAAUACCCUAUGCUCAACACAAAACAUACAGUUCCCAAAGGAAGAUCUUCCAGCCUACACUUACCCAACUUUGUGAUGGGAAGAAAGCCACAGGGUAGGCUGGGAAGCAGGCUCUGAAGUUUGAAUUCAGUCUGUUCUGGGCUGGUGAUAGGUGGUGAUGCUUCUUCCCAGUCUGGACAGCAGCAGUGAGUCAUUUCAGCAGGAGAAACGCAGAAACUGUAGGUGGCACCGUGCGGGCAGUGUGUUUUGGAUAUUGUCAUUCAGAAAGUUAACUGAGAUAGUCAAUGCUUAAUUAUAAAAUGGGCUUUGAGUUGGGUGGUGCUGCUUAACUGUAUGUAAGGAAGGCAGGCCAGGCACAGCUGUGAUGUCCAGUAGGUGAAGAAUAGUAAAUACAUUUUUGAUUUUUUCUAUUUAUGAUGGGUUUUAGCCUCAGUAGAAAUGCAGCAGCACCUGUAUUAUUUAUUCAUUUUGGUCUCUGCCUCAUAGCUUAGUUUAUCUUCAUUUCUUCAACCGUAAUGCUUACUCUUGUUUAUUCAGCAGUAUUGGGGAUUGCACUUGGGGUCUUUGCACUGAGCUACACACCCCGUCUUUUCCCUUCUUUCCUGAGUCAAGGUGUCGCUAAACUGCAGAUUUUCCUGGGUUGAUCUCCUGAUUGUGAUUGUCCUGCCUCAGCCUCCUAGAGUGUAUCCGGCUUCACUCAUCUUUUAAAAGUGAAUUUUUACUGGGCUUUUAAGGCACAUUUCAAAUGCUGCCCCGCCCAUGGAGCUACAGUAUUUGGGUUCUGUAUGUCUUUUUCAGCUAAGCUGGAUGUUCUUCCCUUUUCAGGGAAUUUAUGGGAUUCCUACCAGCAGGUACCUGGUCGGGAGAUGGGAGCUAAACUUCCUUUUUUUGUGCCUGGACCCUCAAUGUCUUACACAUAGUAGGCACAUAGAGUACUUUCAUUAAAUUACAUUCAUGUUUGUUUUUUCCUCAGGGCUGCCGGGAUGUUUCUUUCUCUUUUGAGUCCAGGUUGAUGCUCCUCACUGUGGGGCGUGUGUCUGUGUGAGUAGCCCGCUUAGCUCCUUCAGUGAGGAGACAUACGUUGUUUAGUCCUUAUUUUAAACUACUUUUCAGAAUGGGAGAACAACGCCUUCAUUUUGGAUCCAUGUGAUGCACUUUGAAUUUGCUCAGCUUUAGUUUGUGCUGCCCCUCAUUCUGUGUGGAAAUUAGUUCCACCGAAGUGCCACUGAACUCAGAGCUGCCUGCAACUUGAGAUGCAAACUCCAACACUGUGGGCCACUUUUGAGAAGCAUGUGGUCAUUCGGGAAACAAAGACACUCCUGUUUCCUCUUCUCAAUAACAAUUAAGACAUCAGAUUAAUAGAAUCUUUAAAUUCUUGAAUGAUGCUUGCAGAACAGUUUGUGUUUGCUUUAACACAAAGGAAUACUUUCUGAAACCUAAAGGUCACCCAAGAAAUAAGAGAGAGACAAUUUAGGAAUGGUGCAUGCUGGUAGAGUUUUGCAGAAUGGCAUGUGUUCUUUACAGUGUGUUUCUGGCUUUGGAGCCACUUGGCAUGGGAGUACACUGUGAUUUACUGCAGACAGGCAUUCCUGGGCAAGGAGUCCCCUGCAUGGAAGGGACAUGCCAUCAGGAGAAGGAGAGGACACUGGGGGUGGGAUGGGGGAAGAAGACUUCUCAGUUCCCACUCUAGCAUUUACUUAAUGAGUGUAAUGUUCUUGCUAAUGGGAUUUAACCACAAUACCUGUCUCUAACCUUGUCACCGAAAAGGUAGUCUACAUGCCCCUCUUUUCAAUGCUGUCUGGGUGGAAACUGUGCCCAAGUCUGUUCUCCCAAUUUUCUAAGUGGUAAUCCUAGAAUUAUCUUGGCUCAGAAAUAAAUGAAGAACUCAUGUACAGGAGUCAGAUUUCCCUACAGGGGUUGUAACUGAAACAAGGAUUAAGUACCAGUGUACAAAACCUUUCAAGCAAUGGACAGCAUGUCAAUUGCGGAACACUCUAUCGUAGAAGGGCCCUUAGCGCUUCUCUUUUAUAAAGCCUGAGAUCAGAUUUUGGUGGAGAAUUAAAAGCAGGGCAAUUUAGCUCCUUUAAAGGGUUGCUGGUUUGGGAGGACCCAGCUAUUUUUAGCUCUGUUGCUGUCUGUCCAGGAAGCUAAAACAGCUAGUCAAUUAAAUGGUAAACAGUGUGUGUGUGUGUGUGUGUGUGUGUGUGUGCAAGGUGUUGUGUAGGAGUAGGGCAGGGAGCUGGGGAGAUAAAAUAGGCCUCAGAAAAGAGUCUACCCAGGGCAAGAACUUUGCAAAGAGUUGCACAGUGUCAUGCAGAUAAAGCAUCCACUGGUGGCCACCUGUUACACAGUGCACACGUUUAUUUGAUGUUGCGCAGCAGAUGGAAUGGAAUGACACUAAGCCAGCUGAUCACUCAUGCUCAGGCAUCCAUUGAGUGAUGGUCACAAACUCUCUGCCAUUUACUGACUAUCUGCUAUACACCUAGCAUGGCGCUUUACUUCCGGUGUGCCAUUGGAUGUUGACAGCUGCAGCCUGAGAAGCCGAUACAGAGACAUUUUUGCCCAAGAUUACCUACCUGAUAGGUGCCUGAACUGGAUUAGAAUCUAGUUUUCUUUCCAACUCUGCUCUAGUCACUUCUGUAGCCUGCCUCCCACACUGGUCCCAGCUGCACUGACACUAUGUGAUCUGAAAUCGGUGUGUGAGGGCACUUUGGCCUUCCUGGAGAAAGGCAUGGAGCACACACAGGCCCGAUAUGCACACACAGAAAUGUGUAUAUACUGAACCUACAUUUAAAUCCACAUUUUAAGUGUGCCAGUAUCCUUAAAAAGAAAUAAUGAGGGACUCUCAUUUACAUUUUGCUUUCCAGUUUUCCUGGAACUGUAAUUUGUACUCCUCUUUUUUAAAAAAAAUCCCCUUUACCUUCUUUUAUUUAUUAUGAUCCCUGGAGAAUGUGUCCUCUGCUCAUGGCCUAGAUAAGAGAUCAUGGGUAUGGAGCAGAGGUCAGCAAGAUAGACGUAUGUUAGAAAAAAAAAAGAAAAUAGCAGGGUGGAACCACAUGGCUCUUAGUGGUCAUUUUUUCCCCUCAUGCUGUGUAGCAAACCUGAGGCAUGCUCAAUUUGGCAUCUUUGAAUUUAAACCAUGGAUAAACCAAAUAGAUCACAAACUAUGAUUCCAAAUAGAAACUGUGGAUUUAUCCGAAGGUAUAUUAUAUGAUCUCAUCCAAACAUAAAAUUCAUAUUCUAAGAGUGGUGUGUAAAAUUCCCCGAGAUUUUAGUGCAAGAUAAUUUUCCCUUUUCAUGUGCCUUUCCUCAUAUUGAGAUAGGUGGAAAUCUUUUAAGAUUUUAAUUAACCUUCGUCCUAAUGAAAAACCAACUACCAAUCUAUAGAUGGAAGGAUAUUUCCUUGGACAAUGUAGCCGUUAGUGUAAGGUCUUGUUGAAUCUCUUUCAACAAGUGUUUGGAAAAAAUCAAAUUUAGAAAUAAACAUUCAUAUCUAGAGGGCCUAUCGGGGUUUCCCUCCAAGCAGACAAAGGAAUACUUUCAGUCUUAUUAUAUGUCUUUGGACAAGCUCAGCUCUCAGGGCCUGCUGAGCUCUAAUAUCUUACGAAUCACUAACAGUCAAACUUCUUUCAUUUUGAGGCCCAUUCCUGGAGGGAUAAAGAUAAUGUGGUCAAGGAUGCAACAAUCAGCUGUUGGACUCAGAUGUGGCUGUAGAUAUAAAACAGAGUAUCUCUUCCUUUCCAGAUCAAAGGGAGAGAGUCCUUAGAAUGCUCAAGUUCGAAGUAGACAAAGAGGAGAAGGAAUAUCUAGCAUCAAAAUAGUGGCAAAUAUAAAAAUCUAGGCUUAUUACUGAGACCUAGGAAACAAUUCUCAAGGAAUGUUCCUGCUGCCAGUUACCUGAGAUUUUUUAAUUACAGGCAAUUCAUGAUUACCUGUGAAAGGAGGGAUGGAGAGGAGAACUCAAACAAUGAAUGUUGCAAAAUCAUACAAAUUGGCUUGGGAAUAUUCUGCAUGAUUUCUCCCUCUUAGAAAUUUGCCUUCCUAAUUGUAUUUUGCUUAAUCCAAUAUUAAAAAUUAGUUGGUUUCCCCUGAGAAGCUCUGGAGUUAAACUGCAGAGGGAAUUAGUUUCAGGAGCAUGCCACUUGGAACGUGGUGGAUGAAACGUAUUCGGGCCUUAAUGGACCAAAAGCUCCCACAGAUAUUUUAAUCUUAAAGGAAAGUGUCAUCUUGAGCACCUUACUAGUCUUCUCAUGUUGCCUAAAAGGCUGUAAACAAGUAUUUGUGAUCGUUAUGUAGGUGAGAUUAUUUCUACCUAGAUUUGUGCAUUUUUACCUGGAGAAUGUUCCAUUCUCGUCUCUCCCCUCCUUGGUAGCUGUAGUAAAUAAUAAACCAUCUAUCAGACUUAAGCAUAGGGCCUUAAUGGGGCCAGAAAUUUUGUUGAAUAAAUGAGAACAUUACUUAAGGCAGGUCUGGGUCUCAUUGUGUGACACCCAAGCAAUCCAUGAGGUGAUGUUUGUGAUUUAGGAAUCCGAACCCUUAGGCUAUAGAGUUGUUUUCUUUGGGGUUCCAGACUAAGUUCCCUUUGCUUCCUUCCCAACUUCCUUAAUUCUUUCCUUUCUCCCUCCCUGCCCCAUUUUUUAUAUUUGCCUUGUACCAUAUUGAAAUUAUUUCAUAUUGUAAUGUUCCGUCAGUAUAUACAAAUUCAAAAGUAGACGUACAUCCCUUCAGCUUAUAGUGCAUCUACAACUGAAAAUCCAAAACAAAUUUGCACACUGAAUUCCAACAAAAUGACAAAUGCCGCACUCAGAUGAACAAUACUGAUUUGACGUGAUGAACGACAGUGAGCUAACAUUAAGUGCUCACUUGUGGCAGUGGUGGUGGACCGACUGGUAGGCUGGUGAUGCUUUAAUUUUAUCAUACCUUUCUGUGUUUGUGAUGUAGAAGACAGUUCUAACAUCUUACUUAAAUCCCCUAGAAAGCUUUGGUCCACAUAAGUGUGCUGAUAGAUCAUGUAGCCUCACGAAUCCAUAAUCCAUUUUUAGGUUCACAAUCAGGUAUUGUGGGUCCUGGUGAGUAUGUAGUUUUGGGGAGUAUUUUAAAUAAAAAGUUAAAAGGUAAUGAAAGCAGAAUAAGUGGGGUUCCUCUCAGGCCCUUGGAAAGAAUCUGUACAGAGCAGUGCUGAACAUCAGGCAUUCUUAGCUUCAAAUCCAUCUUCCAAAUCCAUCUCGUUCAUGGGUCAAGCACUUCUCUACUUUCCUUUUAUUACCAAUAAAAAUGUCCAACCGGGUAACAAUGAGGAGUUGUAUUUUGUUUUCAUUUUAAGGAUAUAGUUUUGCAUUAUACAUUGGUACUUUUUAAAGGUAAUUCUUAAAAUAAAAACAGAAAAUUAGAUAUGGUUAUUUGUAGCACAGAUGGUUGCACAAUCUUUUUAUGUAAACUAUUUCUCCUAUGAUGGAUUCCUACAAGGAAACCCUGGGAGAAAGUUUUGGGGCUUGCCUUUUUUUUUCAGCAUUCGUUUAAUUUACAGAGGUCAUGGAAAUAGAGAGGUCAGCAUUUCUCAAGAACAGCUUUUCCCAACCUGCCUGGCUUCUCGGAGCUUGAUCUGGGGGCUCACACAGCCCUUGUCAUUGUCUGGCACCUCGCCUGGUAACAUGGUUGUGAGCCCUGUCAGAAGACAGGGCCAAAGUGUGCCUCAGGUCAGCAUUUCUCUGGGGACCGAGGGGGCAGGCAGAACCCAGAGGUCAGAUCUGCCUUGGGGAUAACAUUGCAGAGUCCAGUGGUUGCAAUCAGGUGUGUUAUAAGUCAAAGCCACAUGGCAAACAGCAGGCACAGGGAAUGCUCAAAGGUCAGAUGGGCAACACAAGCCAGGGUCAGGAAGAACUUGGAGCUACAAUACCAGUUGGCAAGCAAAGCAGUCAUAAAAACCAUGAUCAGGCACAUUAUGCCUGUUGGACCUAAAUUCUUUCUGCCUACGAGACUGCUGUGCUCAGAGACAUUGGCUCUGGUACCAUGUGAGAGCACCUGGUAGACUGGAGAAUAAACUAUUAUACUCAAGAUCUAACCUGCCCUCUCAGGUUCUCUUCUCUCUAAGACAGGACAGUGAUGUCUCCACUGAAGUGACCUCCAUCGUACAGGUAUCCAGGAUACAUGCUCUGGGUGGAGCUUAGUUCUAAGAGAAUGUUUAUCUUGGAACCUUCUAAGGCUUUUCAUCAAAUAGUCCUAGCUUUCUUACUCCUUGCUUUAUGGGGUUGUUGUGAAUGGGUUUUGUAAAUAAUAAAGGACUACCACAUACCAGAUGACUACAAUCCUUUCUUUCCAGUGGGGAUUCUGAUGUUUAUAUUACCUGAAAGUUGUUUUCAAGUGAGGUUCUCAGCUAAUAAAUAUUUUUUUGGGUUUUCUUUCUAUUUUUUUUUUCCUUGAUUGAGCCUCAUCUUUUUGGUGACCAAUAAUUUAUUGGAAAUUUUAUCUGAGAAAAAUGUUUGCAGAGAUGGAGAGUUUCCCAGAUUCAAAAGAGAUUUUUCUUCUAAAACUCAGAGCUGGUAGAGCUACAAGACCAGCCUCUUUGUCUAAUCAAUCAGGUUUUUAACACAAUACACCCAGCUGAUGCUUGGGUAGAAUACAAAUUCCCAGUCAUGUGAGCUCUUAUCAGUUAUAAUACUGACAAAGAAUUAGCCAGUCUCUUUUGGUAAAAUGAUAGUUGCGGGCGCCUUAAUUUUUCUAGAAAUAUUUGGGGGAUUUGAAAGCUUAAGAAGUAAACAGGUUGUUUUGCUCAGGAAACCUUCUCUGAAAGACUGAGCAGGGUUCAUCUGAUGACAUUAGCUUUGCAAGUAAUUUCCAUGAUGUCAAGGGCACACUGGAGAUUAAAGAGGGAUUAAGACCUCCUUGCACAGUUAUGGCAUUGCAGUAAAUGGACUGGACUUGGCAGGCUGCAGCUCCGGUCGGCAACUUUCCAACACCUAAUCAUACACAAUAUAGGUUUGUGGUGUUACCUGGGCUAUUUUCACAGAGGCCAAGAAAUGUUUAACAGAUAAGGUGGGAGGAGAAAGAGGCUGGGAAGGAGGGUGGACCUGAGAAGAGCAGUUUAAGACACACCUGCCACCAUCAAGAGCUGCCGAAGAAGAUCAAGACAUUAAGGAAAAACAAUUUUUUUCAUAAUGUUUCAAAACAUGAGUUUCCAUCCUUUUUCCACUCCCAAAUUCUCCAGAUAUGCCUCUCUCUUAAAAGCUUUUUAUCCUUCAUGUUAUUAUCAAUUUCUUCAGCAAAAGGAGGCAGGUUUGUCCAGGAACUUCAUGGAAUAAAAAUGAGUUUAUGUUUUAAAACGGAAACAGCUGGAUGGCCAAAGCCAGGCAGGGAGGCAGCUCUGGUUUCAUCAGCAAAGGGAAACUCAAGGGCCUGGAGAGAACAACUGGGCUGGCAGCCAUGGCGGGGAGAAGAAAAGGAAACACACGAUCAUAAAGAACUAAUCAUGAUGAAAAAUGAAAAGCGAGAAAGAGCCAAGAACAACAAGCAAUAAAUAGAUUUGGAAAGGGGAAAAGACCAAAGGAAUGCAAAACCAUACUCAGGAAAGGGGCAGCAAGAUCAUGUGCGUUUCAUUGAAAAAUGUUUAAUAAUUCUUAAAAUCAUUAAAGAGUCCUACAGAAAUGUUUGGAGAUAACUUGUCAGACCUGAGAUUUAAUUCUUUGUGUUAUUUCAAAGCUGAUUUCAGUGCAUGAAAAGAAACAAAGUAAGAAAGGAAGAAAGGAAGAAAAGGAAAGGAAGAAAGAAGGAAAGAAAGAGAAUCAAAUGGACCUAGAGGGAGGAAUCUAAUGUAUAAUGUGCCAGAAUGCUUGGAUUUUUUUCUUUCUGCUUUUAUUUUUUUUUAACUUUUAAUUUCAGCCCGAUGGUAGGGAAAGUAAGCAAUUAGUUUGACUCUGUAGGUUCAAAGACUACAUCCAGGGCUGGGGAUUUAGCUCAGUGGUUUUGCCUCCUGCUGCGCAAGUGCAAAGACCCGAGUUCGAUCUCCGGUACCAAAAAAAAAAGGACUACAUCCAAAGUGAUAAAUCCUGAGUUUCUAAGAGUAAUUCAUACAUUCCUAGCUUUAAUUAGAAAUAGCAUGUACAUUUUUCUCUAUGCAGUAAUUGUCUGACAUUCAUGUGUUUGUCUCAAGGGACUGACAGUUCUGACUCACAGGUAGAUCUCUAAAUAUUUUCAGAUGAAAUUAACAUGGAUUUAAGGAGGACUUAAGAAGAAAACCAGAUCCUAGUUUGUUGUCCCUCUUGAAGUGUGUUCGACAUGAUAAAAUAUACAAACAUGGCCAAUUGUCCAGGCUAUCCUCGAGAUGGGAUUUUUAAUAAAAACUAUUUGAAGUUUUACAGCAGUUAUAGAUAAAAUCUUACCACAGAAAUGGUGCUGUCUUUUUAUAGGGGGGAUACUAAUUAUUAGCUUUUUUAAAAAAAUUAGUUUUUAAUAGCAGCAUUCGUUUAAAGAGAGAAAAAAAUGCUUAUGUUACCUUCUGGAAUGUACAUUCAUCUUGUUAAUGACACUGUAGUUCAUGGUUGGCAAAACAGGACUUCUGAAUCAACCUGUCUUUUUCUUUCCGUUUGGUAGUUACACUUGAGAAAGAAAGCCAGCCCACUAAAGAUACAUGAAAAGUGCAUGAAGACAGGAUAAAGGAUUUCCUAUGAUUUUAUGUUGUUCUUAAUUAGGAAGCAUAUUGGCAACAAAUGCUAACAUGUGUUAAGAUGUUUAGUUGUAGCCAAAUAAAUGUUUUCUAUUACAACUCUGAAUUCCAUGCCUACUAGGAAACCAUGCUGUUCUGUGCAUGGCUUACAAAAUCCCUUUACAAAUCAUCUCAAGGACCAAUUUUCUGUUGGCUCACAGAGCAAAACUACUUUCGCCACAUGUUCUCCUGAAGGGUCAUGGGCAACUCCAAGCGGAAGUCAAAGACAAGAGGAACAUGAUCUCCGAUGUUGGAACUGCACUGCUUUGUGGUAAUGAAUGGUCCUUCAUGAGCAUACUCAAUGUGAGCCCAGUCUCAGAAGGGGGUGUCCAGAAGCUAGGGAGCAGCACCCUCUCAUCUGUGUUUGUUUUUAUCUCAGUGGAGGAGAAGCCAAGUGAAGAAGAAUUUCCUAUAACUUCUGCUAGCAGUGUAUCACAAAAUGCUUCAUCUCCGAUGAACAAGAGUAGGCACCAAGCUGAGUAACAAGGCUAGAGAGGAUCCUUAUCUUGAUCAUUGCGUAUUUUUAAAGAGCAAACAUUUAUUUUCUACUUCUAAUGUCAGAAGUUGAUUGAAAAAGAACAAAAAGUGAAUGGUGGUGAAGUUGUUUCCUAAAAUUUAAUAUUAGGGCACCUUCUCUAUUCAGGAUCUUAUGUUGCAAGCUAACUGUACAACUGUCAUGCUUUUGGGGGGUAACUGGUGCAUGGAUUAUUCUAUCUGUGUCUUAGAAACUUUAAGAGAAAAGAUUUCCAUCAUGGUAUUUUCUACUGCAUUGCACAGAAAUUUUACAUACCCUCAUUCAUUUACACAGCUGAAAUGACACAGGAGAUAGCCAGCAUCUGUCCAUUGGUUGGAAAGCACUCUAGUUUUUUGAUAUCAAUAAGUCAAUGGAAUCCAUGACUUACAGCAAUCUUGCGGUAUUCAUUCAAUAUGCUAUGACCAUGUUACCUAAAAGCUUCAUCUCUGCUCCCUGCAAUAUUCUUCCUCCAAUUUUUGGCUGGUGUGUUCUCUCCCUUCUUCAUGCCUUUUUUCAAUUGUCCCAAUUCCUGAAGCUUCUCCUCAUGUCUCAAGUAUUCUCUUUCCCUGUGUGCAAUUAUUUUGUUUUCUUCAUUAAUUUAGUUCCUCUCUCCUCUUCUAGGCUAUACAUUUCAUGAGGAAAGAAAGGCAUUUUGGUGUCAUUCUGGUGCCUAAGAACCUAAGUAGGAGAUGUGUAAUAAAUAAUUUGUUCACUGAAUUAACAGGCCCAUAAUAUUUUUGUUAUUCCUCUCACAUCCAUGGGCAACAUGUUCAAAACCUUGAAAAUUAUUAAAUCAUUUCUCUGCAUUGCUAUGUAAAACUUCUAAUAUUCCUAAUAAGACUGACCAUGCUUAUGAAAUCUUUUUUCCUUGGCCCACUGAGUAUAUGGACCACGAAAUAUUUAACAAAAAAGUGAGACUGUACAAAGAAGCACUAGGUUAGUGAAAGAUGAUUUUUUUUUUUUAGUGCUUUUAGGUGGUGACCUCUUAACAAUGUAUCAGAUCUUUUGUAAACCGUGAAAUGAAAUGACUGGCUAUCGGAACUAAAUUUGAAGAGAAAAACUGUCAUCUUCAAAGCAGUAAAAUCUCUAUAUAACCAUGUAAACUAAUUACUAGGUUAAGUAAAAUCACUGAAAUAUAUCAGGCCUUUCUCAUGUCUGCAGGGCAGACAUAAUACAGUAAAUUUCUAAUAGUCAGCCUGGGAAGGCGCUGUAAUGGUUAGAGGAUGUCAUGGUAAUAGUCUCAGUUUUGGUUGGGAGACUUACAAAGAGAAUAUUGGUUGUACAUAAACUGUAGAAUCUACUUGAAUAUUUCUUUUUCAUUUCUCCCUAUCAAAGAGUGGAAGAUAUUUUGUGUAUAAUGUUUUUUUUUAAUUUUAGAUUAUUUGGUAUAUUGUAUUUUUUCAUGUGGGUAACAAAAAUACGUGAGCAAGAGCAAAACCUACCAGAAGCCUCAAAAACAUAGGUACCAUGGAAGACCUCAUGAUUCUUUCAAUUAUUAAAAAGCACUAUUUUAAGAAGACAUGUUAGUAAUCCACAGUAAGUCAGAAGUAUUGGAUCAACACAUUGGAACAUUGAGUAUUUAUUUAGUUUUUGGUGCUGGGGCUGGAACCUAGGGUCUCACAUGUGGCAGGUAAAUAUUCUACAACUGAGCUGUACCCCUAGUUCUGAAUGUUUGUUUUAUUAGGUCAUUUUAUAUACAUAUAUAUUUAAAUUUGGGACAUUGUUUUCUAAAGUCUCAAACUACUCUUAUACUCAACCCCGAAGACAACCCAGCUCACCACUCUGGAUUACGACUAACUGUUUGCGUAUAUGUUUUUCCCAAGAAAUUAUGCACCUUGAAGAAAAAGACUUCAUUUUUUUUUGCUUCACAAUAUUUCCCAUGACCCAGUGCAUGGAAUGGAUAAAUUACCCUUAGCAGAGGCUCAUCAGCGAUUCCUGACUUCCCUGCUAACUUUUCCUAGAGAUGUGAAUUAAAGAUAGAAAUUUGUUCAGACCAUUGAUGGUCCUCAGAAAUACAAUCUUAAAAAGUUGAUAUCUAUCCGGUCUCAAUUCAUGGAGAGCGGUGGGAACCAGACCUCUGAAAAGUGGUUGAGUAUUGGGCUACAAGCUUAGGGGAUAGUCCAUGAGGAAUAAAACCAAAAACAUACAUUAACAUUUAUUUGCCCAAACGGCUGGUGCCUUAAAAGCUGGUGCCCUCCCCCAUUCCAAUUAACAUGGAGGGAAAUAUUCCAGCUGCUGGGAUCUUUCCUCUGCAUGCGAACCUGCCGUUGUUGCCUGGGUAGCCUGUGUGUCUCUUUGGAAUUGAUAAUGAGGUUCAAGAGAGAGAGGUAUGGCCUGUACUAAGCAUGUCACCCCUAUUUAGCACCUUUGCCAGGAUGGCAGCCACUAUUGUUUUAUUAUGUCCCUGAUCAGCUGGCACUAUUCAUAAAGUAAUCACUGCCAUUAACACAUCACGCCUCAAGCCAUCUGCUGCAGCAUCACGUACACCAAGCUGUUGGUUGCAAGCAAAGCAGGUGUCAUCUAAGGAUAGUGGCACGGUAAAGGUGGGAAGUCAUCAUAGUGAAAGAAGAUAUGUUCUAUCAAAUAAUUCCAUAUUUUGAUACAUUAUAGUAUAAUAGGCCAUGGUUAUUUUGCCCAACUUGCAGAUGGCUUAAAUAAGAUAAUUCAAGUUUGAAAUAUUUUAUUUUCAACACUGGUCAGUUAUGGAGCCAAAAAUGUCCUUGAAUACCUUGAUGAUAGCAUCUUGAUCACAAGUGGACUAUUGCAUUAAUUUGCAGUAAAGUUUAGAGCAUUCUUACAGAAGCCUUCCUCUGAUCAAUCAACUCUUCAAGUGACAAACAUUUACUGAGCAUGUAGUAAGUGACACUGAUACCUGUCUUGCUCAAAUUGUAAAAGUACUAGUUUAAAACAUGAUCUGGUAAUGUAUAUGGUAGAGACUCCAUGUGUACUGAAUUCCCACCCUUUGUUCUGUCCCUAACACUUCUCUUGAUUUUUGAAUAAUUUUAAGUUUUUAUUACUUUCCAUAUUGAUGGCAUUUUUAUGUCCAAAACAAGUUUACAUUGGAAAAAUAUAAUGAUUAAAUGCAAUCUAUAAAAAUGGAUAAAGUAUAGGAUGAUCAGUUAUUGCCACCCUCUUCAUUAUGAAGGGGAUUUGUGAUUAUACAAUCAUGAGUGGAGUUAAAAAUUUAAUUGAAAGUGUUAAGUGAGGUUAGGGAGUGAAAUAAGUGAUCAUACUUGGUCCAAAUAGUCUUUUCCACCUGCGUGUAAAGUGGAACUGCAUUCCUUGUUUCUUUAACUAUAGAAAAUUUAUCUAUUUGCUCUGUACUCCCCCCAUAAAAAAGAAAUAAUAAAACAUUAAUGAGAGUAGCUAACUCUGCCCUCUAUUUCAAUCCCCAAGCUUUGCUCUUAUCUUGGAAGUGAGAAGUGUUGGAUGAGGGGUUGGAUCUGCCAGCCCCUCUGUUACUUUUAGCAGCAUCCUGCUCUUCACUUGCUAAGGAUAUAUGUGUCUGGCUAUGCAGGCUGUGGUCCUAGGGUCCAUGUAACACAGCACUGUUCACCAGGACACACCUGUCCACAUAUCCUCUAGGCUACUGGGUGGUCUAAGGGAUUUUUAAGGCUAAAUUUGACUUUACAUUUAGAACUUCACCUCUAUGGGUGUAUGUUAAUCACCCAUGGAAUUGGUGAAGGCUACCGGAUUCCAAAAUCUAUUGAAAGCAAAGAUAGCCAUUUUCUAUAUCAAGAUUUCUCAACUACUUUUGAACUCAACUUCCUUUUGAAAGACAAAAGAAAUGUCAAGCUCUCUUCUCAUCCCUGAAGAUUUGUGGAUCCAUCUGUUGUCACCAAAAAGACACUCUCAAGAUCUACUUUUGUAGGUGGAGUUAAGAAAAACGUUUUAAAACUUCUCUUCUUGCCUUUACACCCUGAGAAUUUGGAGUGUAGAUUUCAGAUGGGAAGUAGACUACUUUUCACUAUCAAAUACUCAAUUGAAGGCAAGAUUUAGUUAUUUUGACUUGAAGAUUGAAAUUUUGGAGUCUGGAAUGGCUACCUUUGAAAAUAUAAGUGAAGAUAAAAAGACACAAAUGAAGAAUCAAAGAACAAGCUAAUGAUUAUUGUCCUUUUCUAAGGGGACUACAUAUGCUCAAUAAAUCUGUGAUUACUGACUACCUACUGACUUACAGGGACAGGCAUGCUGAUGGUUUUGGAUACUGUAAUUUUAAGUUGACUUUGCCACAUGUGAUUUAAUACUUUGAAUACAAAGCCCCCAAAUUGUUUGCUAUUUUGUUUGGAUCAAAAUGUGUAGCUCAAAUGACUUUGUAAGACUGGCUUCUCAAACUAUCACCUGCCCUUACAUCAGGCUCAGAAAGAACACAAAGACAAAAGACUCUUAGGUCCACUUCUGAUGCAUUACCAGCUCUUGCAAAUGCUCAACCAAGAAAAUACAUAAUGGUUCCUCUUUCGUCACUUUUGUUAAAAUAUUUUUGUUGAAAGUUGGUAAAAGCUGUAGAUGAGCAAGCCUGGUCAUAGGUUUGAACCUGGCACAAACGACGAGGGCACCUGGGAGAUAUUCUCCCGCUGAACAUGUCCACAGUACAGUUUUUGCCUCAGGAGCAUGUUCACUGUGGCUCUGCAGGACCCAGUUGUGUGAUAGUGGGAGGCUGAUCGACUUAAAGCACAUUGGUAGCUUGUGAACACUUAAGACUGGAAACCUUCUUUGAUAAAUGCACAUCUGUCUUCUUUUUUUGAAGUCCUUAGGAAAAAUGUUGCCGGACAUUUUGCUGCCCGGAGGAGUCUAGACUUCCUUAAGCAUAAACCUUAAUCCUUCCUGGCUUCCUGCUACAAUUCUUCUGUUUCCUCCCCCAUCUUUUUCUGGGCAAAGCCAAUUCUUUUUCUCUACUCUUACCUGAGGGUCUCUGUUCACUUUUGAAGCCACAGACAAUGCAAGAAACAUUUAUUCGAAUACCUAGGCCCCAAAUGUUUCUGGAAAAAUAAAAGAUGUGUGACCAAGGACAUUACUUACCCUUUCAAUCUGUGAAAUGGAGACAAUCCAGAGAUAUCCCCUAAGGGGCCUAUGGGUAAUCAUAUAAUGUUUAUAACUCUAUAAAACAAUGGGAUACUUAUCCUUGCAAUUUGUAAAUAUAAAUUUAUAAAGACUAUAACAGUUUAACUUAUUAUAGUACUUAUCAACAUUGUUAUGUGAGUACCAUGCACUAGCCCAUUGUGUCACUGAAACCCCCUUACUGAUGUUGUUAAACACUCAGGCUUCCAGAACAUACUAAGUGUUCAAUAAAUAUAAUCAGUUACUAUUUAGAGUAAGAUAAAAAGGUAAUAAAAUAAAGCUGUAAUUCUUGUAUGUACACAGCAUGGAGGAGAAAGACUACACAGCAUGGCUAAAGACUUGGAGAUCUGACUUGAAUAUUUUAAAGGACGUAUCUUAAAGGGAUCAAGCCCAAAGAUGAUCUACCACAGAGCUACAUCUCUCGCCCUUUUUCUUUUUCUUUUUUUAUUUUGGGACAGGGUCUCACUAAAUUGGCCAGAUGGGACUUGAACUCAUGAUCAUCCUGUCUCAGUCUACCUCACUGCUGGGAUUACAGAUUUUUGGAUGGUUGUGUCCCCUCUAAACACAGCAGAAUGGUGUUCUUGCUGUUGUGCUGUUGGAAGGACGUGAACUUCCAGUUCCUGGGUCUGAGCUCUAUGUCUGAUUCUGCCACAUACCUGCAGCCCUGUGCCCUUAGCCUCCUUGAGGUAAAAAGCUUUGCUCCACCCAACGUCCCUGCCAUGAUGUUCUGCCUCAUCCCAGAACCAAAAGCAAUGGAGACAAGUGACUAUGGACUGGAGCCUCUGAAACUGUUUUUACUUGAAGACACCGAGAACUACAGCAUCAUUCAUUGUUGGCAUGUUACAGUAGAAAGACCACUGGGCUUGGGAGUAAGAAGAUGGAAAUCAAAGAGCCAGUUUUUUCACUUCAACAAAAUGGUGCUGAAGAAAUAGGAUAUUUCAGUGGUUCCUGAGCAUAACUUACAACAUCAGCAUGGUUGGAACUCUGUGCACACAUGCGUACACAUGGAUUACCCUCCUGAGCCUUUGGUUCAAAAGAUUGGAAAUUGAUUCCUAUUGUUUACAAGCAGCUGGUGUCAAUGACUACUGAUACAUCCAUUGAAUUCUAGUUUCUUCAUUUGUAAAACAGGAAUAGCAUUUCCUAUCCGUCAUAAACGAUUGUUGUGAAGAUUAAAUGCAACAAUAGACUUGUGGCACAGGCAUAAUGCUCAGAGGAAGCUCCCUUGUUUCUUCUUCCAGUGAGCCUUCCUUGUUGUAGCUCAGAGCUUCCCAAAGGGGAUUAGCUCCAUGGGAUGCUCUGCGGAAUGACUGUGUCUUGGGCAGUUGUAUUUGACACUUAGUCUUCCUUCCUGCUUGCUAAUGGACCAUUAGAACUUUAAGGACUCUAAAAUGAGCAGAAGAAAACGGACUGGUUAAAUCUGUUGCACUCAGUGUCCCCCAAAAAGUUAUUUUACUAUUAAACUUUUUAAAGUGGCAAUUAUUAAUUGAUGUUCAACAGAGCAUGCUUCAGGGAUCACUUCCCUCUACAAUCUCUAACUAAUGUUCUACCUUUCUAUAACCUCUCUCAGGGAAUUUACUGCUUGUUUUGAUCUGAUUAAGACCCAGGCUUUCUAAUCAUCCCGGACAAUAUCUGCUCUUUUUCUGAACUACUAAUUUCAGUGGACACUCAUAUUAGUGAUGAUUCUAUUUAACUUUAACUUCCUGAGAUUAUGAAGGUAGAACACAAAUUAUCUUGGAAGAAAUUAAACCAACAAUUUAGAAAUAAAAUUAAUAACUAAACAGUAAAAAUUCACAAGUACAAGGGUGUUAAAUAAAAAAAGAGAACAUUAUAUUUUGAGAGAGCAUAACUUACUCUUGCACCCAGUUUGAUGGGAUAAAUUUAAAAGUACAAGUUUGUCUGAGAGCUAAAUUAAUCCAAUAGUCAGAAAUACCUUGAUAAAAACUUAUAAAUGAACUAAAAAUAGUUAAAUGAGAUUGCUGCUGGAGGAUAACAACAUUGAAGUUGCCAAUCUAAGAGCUAUUGAGAAGCAGAAUAUAGUUACGUAGGUUUUUGGGGUGACAUAAUUUGCCUGGUCUGUAUUUUUAAAGGAAGGUGGACUAUUUUGUUUCUAUACAUCCUCCUGGAACUGAGAAUGUAUAUCUUUAGUUGAGGUGUGUCUAUAAAAUAAUGUCUUACUUAUUCAGGCCUAAGUGGAAGAGGGUACACCUGUAUGGAUGCAUGGCUUGAGGCGAAUGAGUGAACAAGAUAGUUGGAUUCAGGGUAUAAAGUUCAAAGCCAGGUCAGGAAGAGUUAGCAUUAAGACUUUGCUUCUUCAGAUAACUACUCAAUAUGUAUAUUUUUUGCAAGCAUCUUGCUUUUGCAGGUCUGCUAUGAAAAUCUCAGAAGAACAGCUUUGCUUGUGAGCUCUCCCACAUUUCUACUCUGGUCCUGGCCAGAAAGACUGUGAGAACACCCUUUCAUUUGGUAUUUGAGCCCUUCUGCCUCUAUUCCUGGCUUCAGACCAAAGGGAAUAAAUGCAACCGAACAUUUCAGAACCUCGAAAUAGUAAACCGAAAAUGGUUUGCUCUGCUUUUGGUUCUAAAAAUGAUUGACCUGAGAAUUUUUUUUCCAAACUAUCUGCUUGGUCCAUCUCUAGUGUGGAUUACUGGACUUUAGAAACCUGAGGAGGAGAGUAUUUCUUAGAAAAUACAUAAAGAAAAUAUGCAAACAAAAUUUUUAUAAUAAAGGUGCCCAGUUGCUACAACAGAGGUUAGAUUUUACGAGCAUGGUUUAUAUUCCUGAGUAUUUAAAGCAGAAGAGGCUUGGAUGAGAAAGUGGAAAACAUGGGCUUGUAUGGUGAGCCAGUUCAUCACUAGCUUAGUGACCAGGGCAGAUUCCCUAGGCUUUGUCUCCUCUGGGCAAAAUGAAUAGAAAUCAAAAGAAUUAUACUUAUUUUAAUUGAGUCAUUAUGAAGAACAAGGUAUUUCAGAAUACCUUAAAAAUUACAGUGCCAAAGACCAUGUGAAAGUCAGUAAAUCAUAGGGACUACAAGUUUGUAUGUUACCACCAAACACACCUGGUUUCAAAUCUCUGUUCCUCUGCAUUCCAGCUCUGUGACCUGCGUAUGUCACUAAAAACCUCUGAACACUGAUUUCAUCAUCUGUGAAAUGAGGAGAGUGAUGUUGGGAGAAGAAAGUCAAAUGAUGUAAAAUGGUAUUGAUGAUGCCUAUUGUACAUACUCAUAGUUCCAGGUGCCAAUCUAGAGAACCCUCUGAACUAUUUUCCACACAGUUACUUAGUCUUCUGAAUCCCAUUGAGUUGACACAAGAAUGAUGCCCAUGUGUUGGGUGGCUGCGUAGGGGGUCAGUUUACUUGCUUGGAUCCAAAAUAUGGAUUAGGCUCAAUGGGAAUAUCCAAAGGAGAAAGUAGAACACUCUGGCCGGGCUAUGCCAAGUAUAAAGCAAUGCUGAUUUGGGUCAAUUUUUAGCAUCCACUUUUCAAUAGCAAAGAGAGAAAGGUGAAAGGUAAAACUAUAUGCAGGGCCACUUUUUGUGGAAUUAGAACACCAGGACAGAUUUUCUUACAUUAGGGAUAGGAUACUUGUUUUGUGAAAAACAGGUAUUCACUAUAACUAAAUAUACAAUGUCACUGGUAGUUUACUUGAUAUUCCCUACACACAUUAAGGAUAGGAAUUUAGUAAAUAUUUGAUUUGAUUAAAUAUUAAAGUAUCAUAUAAGUCUUCCAAUGAAAACACUGUCUUUAAUCCACCCAGCAGGACUUACUGUUCUGCUACCCCUCUAAGGUGUUUGUUAAAUAGCAUUCUCUCUUCCUCCCUUCAUAGUUAAAGUUUUUGAGUGAAUAAUCCUAUUGGCAGCAUUUCUUCAUGGAUUUGGAAUCCCUACAUUUCUCUCCCUCUGGGUAUUGACACUUCUGGGCACUUGUGACUCCCCAAGGGCCACAUCCAAUGACAGUUUGUAAAUGAGAUUCUCUUUUGCCAUUUUGCAUCUUUUACCUUCUGCAGCACUUUUUUGUCCCCUCCCCCAAUUACAGUGAAUCCUUUUCUGUCGCCUUCAGGUGCUUCCUUGGGAUUCUGUCCUUUAUCGCCUUCUCUUUACCCCAUACCUUAAGCCAACCCUGCCAAUCUACUACUCUAGUUAUCUCCCCUACCCGAAACUCUGGGCCCCCAUAAUGUUCCUCCCAAGCUUGUUAUCUUCACCUGGAUGUCGUCAAGCUUGGUGUCCAAAGUCAAAGCUCAACAACUGUCUCUGUAAGCCGGCUCCCCUCUCCUGCCCCCUUCACUUCAGCCAUUUUGUUUGUAUAUGAAAAUAAACUUCUCCUGGUGGGAAAAAUUCAAACCCUCAGCACUAUCUUGGUCCCAAGGCUCUCGUUUGACCUCAAGUUCCAGGAAAUUCCCAUGUUUAGUUGUGAGCCUGUCAAUUUUAUCUAACUAUGUCUGCCACACUUACAGGGUGGACAGAUGAUGCUUCGAGGGUCUCUGGUUCUCUCUGGGAUGUGUACUCAUGCGUUCUGAAGACAGUUGCUAUAACUCCAGCCAUUUCUUCUGUAUUUUAGACAGGAAAAGGAGAUAGACCACAGAAUCAAAGGGCACUUGCCAAUGCCCAAGGGGCAUCCUUUAAGGGGAGUUUUCUUGAAGGAACUGUUUGAUAAUCUUUGCUUAUAUUGAGUUGACCAGAGCAGAGCUGCAUCAAUCCACCAGGGAGGCAAAGAAAUAUAGUCAAAACAUCUGACCACAGUGCUGCUCCAAUGAGAUAGAACACUAUGGGAAGGGAAGAAAAAGCAGCAUGAGAUUGAGUAGAUGACCAAGGGUCUUUACAAACCCGUUCUCUUUACUUUCCUAUGUUUUCUUAAAAGAAACAACCACUGAAUUUGGAAGGAUAAAAGAGACUACAGUUCUUUCUUUCCCACCCUCAUCAUCUUACUUCAUACUCUUCUUACCUUUUUGCUUAGAUUCUUGCAAAGUUACAUGUAAGUCCCUACUCCACUUUUACUAUUUCCUCGGGUCUCCACGCAUUUAUUAAAGAAGAGAGUGUUGCUGAUGGGCACUGUGCAACAUGCUCAGGAUGAAAGAAACAAUGUCCUUGUUCUUGAUUUGAUCUACACAUUAUAUACCUGUCACAAACAUCACACUGUACCCCAUAAAUAUGCACUAUUAUUAUGUGUCUAUUAAAAUCAAUCAAUCAUCAAUCAAUCCCAUGACCUUUGUUAUGGUACAUAUAGUCCUGUCGGGGAGACCAACAUGCCAGCAACUGGUCCCAGUACACCACAUCACAGGAUGAGAUGGACGUGGACGAAAUGAAUUGAGGAAGCAGAGAGAAAACCAUGGCUACUGGAGCCUGGGAAAGUCUGAGAAGACUCUAUAGAAAAGUGGAUAUUGUCAGCUGAGUUGUGUUUUAGUAAGCAUUUCACAGGCCAACUCAAAGAGAAAUAAUAAGUUUUCUGUGUUUGCAAACUAUUGCCCAUGAAAAACUGAGGGGUGACAUACUUGACCUCACUCCAAAUUUAAUUUUUAAAGAAAGGAAUCAUAAGUAAAAGUAAUUUAAAAUAUAACAUUACAGGGCACAGUAUUGAUAAAUGAGAGGAAAACUGGUUCUUAAAGAGUGUACCACUCACUGACCAUGCCCUGAAAUUAACUGAGAACUCAUUUGUCAAGAGUGUACCUACCCUGAGAAAAUCUUCCAAUUAACAUCAAAAGUGAUCAUUCUUAACCUCUCAUGCAUUAAGAAAUUCUUGUCUGCACCUGAUGUUCUGUUCAUAAUCAAUGGAGCUCUUUAUGUAUGUUAUUUCAAAUUUAUCACCCUGUAUAUUACUAAAAUGAACGAAUUAAUAAAUGAAUCUGCUGUAGGUCCAGAAGCCAGAUUUAUUUGUUGUCUCCUGGUUCUCAUAGGAUUUUCCUUUGGUCUGUAAGUCAUUUCACUCUGCAGUUUCUCACAGUUUCCGAUAUUUAUUGAUAGCUACUGACAGCAUGUGUUGGUACUUACAGACCAAUGGUGUCUAUGUAAGAAAAAUGCUUUUUGGGAGGAUUAGAUCUGUUCUGAAAAAUGUCAGCCAUGUCACUAUCAGACUAUGCUAAGAAGACAAUGCAAAAGUCCUAUCAGUUCUAACUGUAAUAUAUUGUCACAGAAACAUGCCUCAAGAUAAAUUAAGUAAUACUUGAUGCUGUCAUGGUAAUGGGAAGAUUGAUAAGUUUAUAAACUUUGGUUGAGAACAAAUUAGUGCAAUAUUCUUGGUGGCCACUAUCACGAUAUGAGAUUAAGAUAUGUUAGGCUAUAUCCCUAAAUUUGGACCCUUAAUUUCUACCUAUAAGAAUCUACCUAUGAAAAUGAUUAAAAUUUAGAAUAUGAUGUAGAAAAUGGAAGUCAGAGCAUUCAAUAAACUGCAAAAUAUCCAAGAGCUCGAAUAUUAUGUAGUCUAUCAAAAAUUCUGUCUUCAAAUAUUUUUGAUUACAUAAAAAAGUGCCUGUUACAUUCAGUGAUGGACAAGAAGGAAAGUAUUAAGGUCUCAUCCCUCUCUAUGUGGAUAAAUGUCAUUCAUGUUUAUGCAUGCAUAUCUUUCAUGUGAUUUGCACUGGACUGCUAAGAGUUUAAGUGAUUCCUGUUAUCUUCAGGGUUAUCUAAAUUUUAUAACUUUCUACAUCAAGAAGUGUGAGUUUCAUAAUCAGGAACAAAAAAGAAAAUCUUAAAAGGAAAGCUAAACAAAGAUCAUGCAAGAGAGUAGGAAGGGUUUGUUUUUGGCCCUUUUCAUAUGUAAUUGUCUACACUAAUAAUUCUCAGACUUGCAUACCAAGUGAAGUCAAUCUCACUAAGGGUCUCAAUCAAGACUCAGGCUUGAGUGUGUGCUCCAGGCUCUGAGCAUUCCCCCAUCACCCCUCUCCAUCCUGUCCUCCAAAUUUCCAUCCAUUUUUUUUUUCAAGCCAGGAAUGUUCCCAUAUGUCUGUAAUCCCAGCACUUUAGGUGGCUGAGGCUGGAGGAUUGCAUGUUCAAGCCCAGCCUGGGCAAUUUAGUGAAUUGGAAAGACAUUGUUUCAAAAUGUAAUAAAUGAAUGAAUGAAUGAAUGAAUAAUAAAUAAAUGAAUGGGCUGAGGAUGUACCUCAGUGGAAAGGCCCUGUGUUUAAUGCCCAGGAUUGAAAAAAGGAAUUUACUUUUUUACCAAAGCACAGCUAUUGUCAUGUGACUCCCUCCUUGAAGCAUCAUUAUAACUUCCUGACUGCUCGGCGUGCUCAGCGUGGCUCCAGCUCCUGUCCACCGUCUGAUACCUUUUGUAUCGCCUCAUCUUCUGACACUCCAGCCCAGCAGGCGUCUGGUUCCCUUCACGACACGCCUCACUCUGCCCUCCCAGUCACUGUUUCCUCAUGUUUGUUCGUUCUGCUCACCCUUCAAAGCCCUGCUAAAAUUCCUAGAAUGUUCAUUGUGAAUGUUUUCCUCCAUCAUUUCCUCUGUGGACUGUAUUGGUCUCUUUUAUUGCAUUUACCAGGAUUUAACUUGUUUCAUGCUUACUUGUGUCUUUCUCUUCUUGUGUUGUUAGCCCCCCAAAUUAUACCAUCUGUUGUGAUUUUCAGUUGUUAGCAGGUAUUACAGUCAUCUAAGGGUUAAUUAAAACAGAAAUUUGGGGUCCCAUUCCAAGUAUUUCUAAUGCAAUAUACCUGUGGAGGGGCAUAGGAAAGUCCUUUUCCAAUAAGGCCACAGGCGCUGCUGCUACAGUUGGUGACAGAAAACACUUUGAGAACCAUUGCUUUCCAAGGAGGGUGAGAAUGAUGUAAAACAAAUGAGACUCUGCUUUGCUGUGGAAGAUAGAGCACGGAUAGUGAAAUCAUAGGAUUUCAUGCAACUUGGGUUAGAUUUCUGUUCUGUCACUUGAUGUUUGAACAAGUUACUUAACCUUUCUAAGAAACUUAACUUUCUUGCCAGGUAGUUUAGGAACAUUAUUAACUCUUAUAUAAGAAUUUUUUCUGAGGGUUAUAUAGGAUUGCAAAAUACCCAAUAAAUGGUGGCUACUACUAUGAAUCCAUUUAUUCUACAAAAUAACCGUGUAAGAUACGUUUUUGCUCCCAUUGGCCGUACUGUACCCCCAGACAGCUUCUUGGACUUUUAAUUAAAG
rnacentral:lncRNA from 1 species